CCUACGGGAGGCAGCAGUGAGGAAUAUUGGUCAAUGGGCGGAAGCCUGAACCAGCCAAGUAGCGUGCAGGAUGACGGCCCUACGGGUUGUAAACUGCUUUUAUACGGGAAUAAAGCGCCUUACGUGUAGGUCUUUGCAUGUACCUUAUGAAUAAGGAACGGCUAAUUCCGUGCCAGCAGCCGCGGUAAUACGGAAGGUCCGGGCGUUAUCCGGAUUUAUUGGGUGUAAAGGGAGCGUAGGCGGGAUGUUAAGCGCGCUGUGAAAUGUUCGGGCUCAACCCGGACGUUGCAGCGUGAACUGGCGUGCUUGAGUCCGCGGAAGGCAGGCGGGAUG
rnacentral:rRNA from 1 species